AUCCUAGGUCGAUGGCUCAGUUGGUAGCAUGUGAGGCUCUUAAUCUCAGGGUUGUGGGUUUGAGCCUCACGUAGGAUG